rnacentral:rRNA from 1 species
AGUUCCUACGGGGGGCAGCAGUGGGGAAUAUUGCACAAUGGGGGGAACCCUGAUGCAGCGACGCCGCGUGAGUGAAGAAGUAUUUCGGUAUGUAAAGCUCUGUCAGCAGGGAAGAAGAAAGACGGUACCUGACCAAGAAGCCCCGGCUAACUACGUGCCAGCAGCCGCGGUAAUACGUAGGGGGCAAGCGUUAUCCGGAUUUACUGGGUGUAAAGGGAGCGUAGACGGCAGGGCAAGUCUGGAGGGAAAGGCAGGGGCCCAACCCCUGGACCGCUAUGGAAACUGUC